rnacentral:rRNA from 1 species
GCGGUAUUUUAGUCUAUUAGAGGAACCUGUUUUAUAAUUGAUAAUCCACGAUUAAUUAUACUUUAUUUUUAAAUUUGUAUAUCGUCGUAUUAAGAAUAUUUUAUAAUUUAAUAUUUUCAGAUCAAGGUGCAGUUUAUAUUAAAGUAAAAAUGGGUUACAAUAAAAAUUUAUAAUAAAUUGGAUUUGAAAGUAAGCUCUAAAAUAUGUACAUAUCGCCCGUCGCUUUCAUUAUAAAAUGAAAUAAGUCGUAACAAAGUAGGUUUAUUGGAAAAUGUACCUAGAAUGCAAAUUAGAGCUUGAUAAGUAUUUUAUUUACACUAAAAAGUUAAUUGUUAAAUUCAAUUUAAUUUGAAUUUUAUAAUUUAUUUAUAUUUUAAUUUUAAGAUUUUUAAUUAGAAAACUUAGUUUUUUAUUUUUUUAAAGAAAAAAUUUUAUAAUAGUUAAUAGUAUUGUGAAAGAAAAUUUAAAUAUUUUAAAAAGAAAAUUUAAUUUAUUGUACCUUGUGUAUCAGGGUUUAUUAAUUUAUAGUUCUCGAAUUUAAAAGAGUUAAUUUUAUUGUAAAAUAAAUAUUUAUAAUUAUUAUUUAGUAAUGAGACGUUAUUCGUUUUUAAAUAUAUCUAGUUUUUUAAGAAAUAAAUUUAAUUUAUUAAUUAAUAAUAAUAUUAAAAGGGAUAAGCUUUUAAAUAAAAUUUUAUAAAAUUAUUUUAAUUUAAAAAUUAUAGGAUUAGAAUUUUUCAUUUGUAAGAAAAUGUUAUAGUUAAAAUUUUUAAAUUUUAUAUUAAAAUAUUAAUUUAAAUAAAUUAUAUUAAGUAAUAAUGAUAAAAUUAGUAAAAUUAAUAUAAGGAAUUCGGCAAAUUAAUUUUCCACCUGUUUAAUAAAAACAUGUCUUUUUGAUAAUAAUUUAAAGUCUGACCUGCCCACUGAUUUAAUGGCCGCAGUAUUUUGACUGUGCAAAGGUAGCAUAAUCAUUAGUUUUUUAAAUGAAAGCUGGUAUGAAUGGUUUGAUGAGAAAAAAGCUGUCUCUAGAAAUUUAUAUUUAAGUUAAAAAGCUUAAAUUAUUUAAAUAGACGAGAAGACCCUAUAGAGUUUGGUUUAUUUUUAAUUUUAAAUUAUUCU